GACCUUGUGGCGCAACGGUAGCGCGCCUGACUCCAGGUCAGAAGGUUGUAUGUUCAAGUCACAUUGGGGUCA